rnacentral:rRNA from 1 species
AUUAGAGUUUGAUCCUGGCUCAGGAUGAACGCUGGCGGCGUGCUUAACACAUGCAAGUCGAACGAUGAAGCCCAGCUUGCUGGGUGGAUUAGUGGCGAACGGGUGAGUAACACGUGAGUAACCUGCCCCCGACUCUGGGAUAAGCCCGGGAAACUGGGUCUAAUACCGGAUAUGACCUCGCACCGCAUGGUGCGGGGUGGAAAGAUUUAUCGGUGGGGGAUGGACUCGCGGCCUAUCAGCUUGUUGGUGAGGUAAUGGCUCACCAAGGCGACGACGGGUAGCCGGCCUGAGAGGGUGACCGGCCACACUGGGACUGAGACACGGCCCAGACUCCUACGGGAGGCAGCAGUGGGGAAUAUUGCACAAUGGGCGAAAGCCUGAUGCAGCGACGCCGCGUGAGGGAUGACGGCCUUCGGGUUGUAAACCUCUUUCAGUAGGGAAGAAGCGAAAGUGACGGUACCUGCAGAAGAAGCGCCGGCUAACUACGUGCCAGCAGCCGCGGUAAUACGUAGGGCGCAAGCGUUAUCCGGAUUUAUUGGGCGUAAAGAGCUCGUAGGCGGUUUGUCGCGUCUGCCGUGAAAGUCCGAGGCUCAACCUCGGAUCUGCGGUGGGUACGGGCAGACUAGAGUGAUGUAGGGGAGACUGGAAUUCCUGGUGUAGCGGUGAAAUGCGCAGAUAUCAGGAGGAACACCGAUGGCGAAGGCAGGUCUCUGGGCAUUUACUGACGCUGAGGAGCGAAAGCAUGGGGAGCGAACAGGAUUAGAUACCCUGGUAGUCCAUGCCGUAAACGUUGGGCACUAGGUGUGGGGGACAUUCCACGUUUUCCGCGCCGUAGCUAACGCAUUAAGUGCCCCGCCUGGGGAGUACGGCCGCAAGGCUAAAACUCAAAGGAAUUGACGGGGGCCCGCACAAGCGGCGGAGCAUGCGGAUUAAUUCGAUGCAACGCGAAGAACCUUACCAAGGCUUGACAUGUGCCAGACCGCCUCAGAGAUGGGGUUUCCCUUCGGGGCUGGUUCACAGGUGGUGCAUGGUUGUCGUCAGCUCGUGUCGUGAGAUGUUGGGUUAAGUCCCGCAACGAGCGCAACCCUCGUUCCAUGUUGCCAGCACGUAGUGGUGGGGACUCAUGGGAGACUGCCGGGGUCAACUCGGAGGAAGGUGGGGAUGACGUCAAAUCAUCAUGCCCCUUAUGUCUUGGGCUUCACGCAUGCUACAAUGGCCGGUACAAUGGGUUGCGAUACUGUGAGGUGGAGCUAAUCCCUAAAAGCCGGUCUCAGUUCGGAUUGGGGUCCGCAACUCGACCCCAUGAAGUCGGAGUCGCUAGUAAUCGCAGAUCAGCAACGCUGCGGUGAAUACGUUCCCGGGCCUUGUACACACCGCCCGUCAAGUCACGAAAGUUGGUAACACCCGAAGCCGAUGGCCUAACCACCUUGUGUGGGGGGAGUCGUCGAAGGUGGGACUGGCGAUUGGGACUAAGUCGUAACAAGGUAGCCGUACCGGAAGGUGCGGCUGGAUCACCUCCUUAAUC